AAACACCAAAACUCAUACUCCACAUAAUGUGCCAAAUUUCUAAAGAUCGAGGAAGGUGACCCAAGUUCCAGUUGAAGGAGAACAAGGAGUUCUCUCGAUGAUCUACAAAAGAUAGACGAAUUCAGAAGCCCGAGAACUGGUGCAGGAGCAUACAGUCCAGGAGGGCCUGGUGAUUAUAGUCAAGAGAUCAAAAAAUACUAGAGUUAGUCGAGUUUGGACCGUACUGUAAGUUGAUUCGUUUAUAGUGGAUUUUUAUUGGUUUGGGCCUGGAGGUUUUUUAUUUGAGGGAUUUUCUCCAUCAUCA
rnacentral:lncRNA from 1 species